GUGUUGAGCCCCACCAGCUGUCUGCCAGAUGUCUGAUGGGAGAGUCAGGUUGUCCCUGAUACCCACCAGCUGUCUGCCAGAUGUCUGAUGGGAGAGUCAGGUUGUCCCUGAUACCCACCAGCUGUCUGCCAGAUGUCUGAUGGGAGAGUCAGGUUGUCCCUGAUACCCACCAGCUGUCUGCCAGAUGUCUGAUGGGAGAGUCAGGUUGUCCCUGAUACCCACCAGCUGUCUGCCAGAUGUCUGAUGGGAGAGUCAGGCUGCAGAAUACCAAGAACUUUCAAAUUAAUUCCCUGGUUUUCCAGAAAACCUGGUUGGAUGCUUCCGGAUUCUCUGCUUAUUCCCGGGAAACUUCCAAACCAGGAUUUCUGUAAAACGAGGUAAUUUAUUGAAGGUUCCCGGUAUUCUGCAGCCCUGGUAGAGAAGAGUAUCACUGAGUGAACCUGCAGUUUAAAUCCUCUCACCUUUCCUUCAUCAUGUUUUACCAACAACCUGUGAAGGAGCUGAAGUUUAGAUGUUAAAGCUGAAUGGUGUUUGUCCUUCAGUCCUUCAGUGCAACGUUUGUUUCUUUGGCAUUUAAAUGUUUCUUAAUAAAUGAAAACAAGCGUAGA